rnacentral:rRNA from 1 species
GUGUCAGCCGCCGCGGUAAGACGGAGGGUGCAAGCGUUGUUCGGAAUUACUGGGCGUAAAGCGCGGGCAGGUGGUCUUUUAAGUCCUUUGUGAAAUCCCGGGGCUCAACUCCGGAUGUGCAUAGGAUACUGGAAGACUUGGGACUGGUAGAGGCGAGCGGAAUUCCUGGUGUAGCGGUGGAAUGCGUAGAUAUCAGGAAGAACACCGGUGGCGAAGGCGGCUCGCUGGGCCAGAUCCGACACUCAUCCGCGAAAGCGUGGGGAGCAAACAGGAUUAGAAACCCUCGUAGUCC